UGCGGGCUGAACGAAAGCGUCCAGUAUUUUUGUAAUGUUGUUGGCGCAAGAAACAGGAGUUGAAGUAAACUUCAGAACUAGAUGGUAAGCUGUCUGUCUAAAUACCCACAUCUUCUUCCACAUGUAGCUAACGUUAGGAGCUUGGAAGGGGCUGAGGAAAUGGCUUCAAGUCCCAGAACAUCUCUUCCAGAGGAAGAUUUCACCUGUCCUGUGUGUCUUCAAGAAUCCUGUCCUCCGACCAUGGAGCAGCCACAGCUACUUGUAAAAGUCUAUCUGCAGCAAUGCUGGGAGUUGAAGGGGGUUCGGGAAUGCUCCGUUUGCAGAAAGAUAUUUUCAAUGGGUAAUCCUCCCUGUUUACCUGGUUUUAUAGAACCUGUGUGAGGCCUACCUUGAGGAGAGUCUAAAGUGCUCUUGCGUGGUGAGAAAUUAAAGUACUAUUGUCUGGAGGAUAAGCAGCCCAUCUGUUUAGUGUGUCAAUCUUCUAGAAAACACAAGAGUCGUGACCGCUGCCCCAUAGACGAAGCUGUUCAGGGCCUCAAGGAGAAGGUACAACGACGUAAAGACAUGCGUUUUACAGAGUCCCGUUUUUAUUGAACGUAAUACAUUUUCUAUGUUAGGUGUUUAAAUACUGUAUACAGAUUAUUCUACUGUAAGAUAGGGUGUUUUUUUCGUUUCAGGGUGAACACCAGAGAGCACUAAAACCCUUACAGGAGAUGCUGAAGUAUUUCAAAGAAGCUACAGACAUCUGUACUUCCACAAUGCCUCACAUUCAGUAGGACGGCGUUGAGUUUUAUAUAAGAGAAAGCAGCAAUAAUGUAUUAGAUCAAUAUUUAAUUAUGUUUGCAUUUGGUUGCCAAAUGUUUGAUAGAGAUGGCUAAAUUAUAACUUUUCACAGCUAGACUCUGUAGUAGGACUGAUUCAUUCACUACUGUACCGGUGGCUAGCUAAAAUCAGACCAGAGUCCGUCAACCAGACCAGGGAAUUGGUUUUCUGGAUGAAAUGUGAGAAUUCCAGUAACGUAAUGUAAUAACAGUUCUCCCACUGUCUCCAGAGACAAUUCCAAGACGCAGAGAUCGAGAUCAAGCAUGAAUUCAAGGAGUUUCCGCAGUUUCUUGGAGAUGAAGAGAAGGCCAGGUUUGACACACUGAGGCAGGAACCGUUUGCAAAGACUUCAGCAAUGGUUAAUAGGAUUGACCAGAUGAGACAAGAGAUGUCAUCACUUGUAAACACAAUUGAAGCUUAUAGAGGAUGAGCUAUGAGAUUAAGACACCUUCAGGUCAGGUCUGCUCUAAGUUAACAUGAUUUGUUGGUGCAUUUAUACUGAUAAAUAGUGAUAGAUAAAUAACAGAAUUUAAUCUGGUAGUCUGUUCUUCUACAGGACUAUAAUGGAAAGGUAAGUGAUCUGCAUCCGGUCUCUCUCUUCUCUGUGCGUUCUGAACCGCCACAGCACAACCCCCACUGACUCCUGAAUAUUCUUCCAGAGCCCAGUGCACACUGCCUGAUCCAGAUACACAGCUGGUCUCAGGAGCACUGAUUGACGUGGCUAAACAUCUGGGCAAUCUGCAGUUCAAAGCUUGGGAGAAGAUGCAGAGGAAUUGGAUUGUCACUUACAAUGCACAAUUGAGAGCAUCCUGUUGGGCUGUAUCACCGCCUGGUACGACAACUGCACUACCGCAGGGCUCUCCAGAGGGUGGUGAGGUCUGCCCAACGCAUCACCGGGGACAAACUACCUGCCCUCCAGGACACCUACAGCACCUGAUGUCACAGGAAGGCCAAUAAGAUCAUCAAGGACAACAAUCACUCGAGUCACUGCCUGUUCACCCCAUUAUCAUCCAGAAGGCAAGAUCCUGUGAUUCUGGACCCCAACACUCACAAAUUGUCCUGUCUGACGAUCUUACCAUUGGCACACACUUGGAGCGCAGCAUGCAGCUUCCUGACAACCCAGAGAGGUUUGAUAAAUGGCCCUCGGUCCUGGUCUCUGAGGGCUUUGACUCAGGCUUACACACUUAGGAUGUUGUGGUUGGGGAAAAUGAAGAGUGGAUGGUGGGUGUUCUAUUAGAGUCUGCCCUGAGGAAGGGAGAAAUAAAGACUAGAGACCAGUUCUGGGGUUUAACACACUUGUAUGGUACAUGCAAAGCUUUUCCCCCACCAAAAUGAUCAAAUUUUCCUCACUGUAGACUAUACCAGGACAAUUAGAGUGCAGCUGGACUAGGACAAAGGAACACUCUCAUUCUCUAACCCUGAUAAUGCCACACAUAUACACACGUUCACACACACUUUUACUGAGAGAGUCUUUCCACAUCUUGGUAAUAACAGCUAAUACCCUCUGACGAUCUUACCUGGAGAGGUCACUUUAGUGAUAUCACCUGUCAAGUGUAAAGCCGAUCCGGACUCUGACAAUGAAGAUGAAUUGAAGAAGAAUGCUUCUUUGUCAUUUUCAGAUCACGAAAACUGGUGUCUUUUGAUGUUUUGAUGUGGAACUGCAGUCAUAACCAGCUGAUACCAGUGGCAUUUGUUGUAAGAAAAAUGCUCUGUUCAUUUGGAUUUUAGUUGAUGUUUCAUGUUGAUAUGUCACCAAGAAAUAUUUUCAUUGUGCCAUUUUCUUUGACUUGAGAGAAGAGAAUAUUUUAUGUAAAGGUUAAUGAGUCCAUUAAGACAUGAUUAAAAUAAUUCAU